GACCCAAAGAUUGCGCACUGCGCCGGUA
rnacentral:sRNA from 1 species